GUACAGUGCUUCUCCCCACCCCCUCGGCGCUCAGUAGGAGGAGCUGCUCGCCGUCGGGCCUCACGGGAGUGGUCGCUGCCCCGCCAUCUUCGGAUCCGGCCGCCGUCGCCAUCUCUAUUCUUGCCCCGUCAUUCCUCAGGGUGAUUCGGGCAACGGGAGGGGAUGGGAGGAGGCGGAGCACCAGGGACGAAGCGACGGGAGGGGACG
rnacentral:rRNA from 1 species